AAUUUUAAAGUCAACAGUAAUAAUAGUCAUGUUGGUUUUGGUAGUAAUAAUUAUACACGUAAAUUAUAUAAUAAUUAUAUUCAUAUAUAUGAACAUAUUAAAACACAAUUUCAUAAUUAUGAAAAAAAUAUAAAAAAUAAAAAUAAUGACAAUGUUAAUAUUUCUAAUAAUAGUUAUAAUAGUGAUGAUUGUAUGAGUAAUAAUACAACUACUGCUACUACUACACAUAAAACUACUUACAAUCCUAAUGAUAAAAUAUAUGAUAAUACGCCAUUAUUAAAUGCAUAUAAAUUUAAUAAGACACCUUUGUAUAAUUAUGAUGAAAAAUUAGGUAACUCUUGUCGUUUUUUUAUUUCAGUAAAUAAUCCCUACGAUUUUGAUAUCGCAAUGCUUAAGGAAAAUUGUCUUACAAUAUAUCAAUUAUUAUUAAUAAAAAAAAAACAGUGGUGUUCUUUUCAUAUAUAUACUAACGAAGGUCCUAUAUCUAAUUUUAAUUACCAUUUAUAUAAAAUAUUAUGUAGUAAUAAUGACAUAUAUAUAUAUUUUUUUGUUUUAAAGAAAUUUAUUUUUUCAUGUUAUAUAUACUUUAAUUUAGUUAGUAUUCAAAUAUUUUCAACAUUUGCCUAUAAACGUAAUCAAAUCCCUGUAUAUAACUUUCGAGAUUUAAUUAUUAAUCAACCAGUUGGUAAAGAUCCUAUUCUUAACAAACAAACAUGUGAUAUGUCAUGUGCUAAUGAAAAAGAAAAACAACAACAGGAGCGCCAUCGUAACAUGUCAGACGAACAAGGUAACCACAAAAAUAAAGACAACGGAUACGAGGAGGAGGAGGAGGAGGAGGAGGAGGAUAAGGAAGGUGAGAAGGAGAAAGAGAAGGAGAAGGAAAAUGAAAAGGAGAAGGAAAAGGAGAAGGAAAAUGAAAAGGAGAAGGAGAGCGAAAACGAGAAGGGGAGUGAAAACGAGAACGAAAACGAGAACCAAAACCAAAAUGAAAACGAAAACGAAAACGAUAACAAGAACGAGAACGAGAACGAGAAGGACAACAUUAUGAAUCAAAAAAAUAGAAAAAGAAAAAAUGAAAAAUGUUUACCUAUUCAUAGUAAAGAAGAAAAAGUUAAAGGACAAACAAAACAACAUCAGGAACAAUAUAAAGAAAUUAACCAUAACGCUAAUGCCACUUAUAUAAAAGGAAACAUCUACGAUAAGAAGGAAACUGAUAAUAAAAAUGGCAUUUAUUAUAAAAAGAAUUUGUUUUGUGACAUUAGAAAUGGUAAUAAUAGUUUGAGUAAUACUGAUAAUAAUAAUGUUAAUAAUAAUAAUG
rnacentral:lncRNA from 1 species